rnacentral:rRNA from 1 species
AGACCGAUAGCGAACAAGUAGAGUGAUCGAAAGAUGAAAAGCACUUUGAAAAGAGAGUUAAAAAGCACGUGAAAUUGUUGAAAGGGAAGCGCUUGCGACCAGACUCGCUCGUGGGGUUCAGCCGGCAUUCGUGCCGGUGUACUUCCCCGCGAGCGGGCCAGCGUCGGUUUGGGCGGUCAGUCAAAGGCCUCUGGAAGGUAACGCCCCCUCGGGGGCGUCUUAUAGCCAGGGGUGCAAUGUGGCCUGCCCGGACCGAGGAACGCGCUUCGGCUCGGACGCUGGCAUAAUGGUCGUAAGCNACCCGUCUUGAAACACGGACCAAG